AUGUUGUUUGGCAAAAUAAUCUCAUUUGACACCACUUACAGCACAAACAAGUAUAACAUGCCUUUUGCACCUAUAGUUGGAAUUAAUGGCCAUGGUAGAACAAUUGUUUUGGCCCUAUUGCAAGAUGAGACUUCGGAUACUUUUGAAUGGCUCUUUCAAACUUUUAUGGAGGUAAUGGAGUGGAAGAAAAGAGGAAUAAUAUUGAUAGACCAAGAUGCAGGGAUGAAAGCUGCUAUUCCUAAAGUAUUUCCAGAUGCUAGAUAUAGGUUCUGUCUUUGGCAUAUAUUUAAGAAUGUCAAGGAAAAUAUGAGUGCUUUUAUGGCUACCAGGGAAAAAAUGGAGAAACAUAUGAUGAAGUGCUUGUUGCAGGCCAUUACUGUUGAGGAAUUCGAAGAACAAUGGGAGAAAUUUGUUAAGUAUGAGUGUGCUGGGCAUGCUCACAUCAAAAGGAUGUAG
rnacentral:rRNA from 1 species